rnacentral:rRNA from 1 species
UCUCCUACGGGAGGCAGCAGUGGGGAAUAUUGGNCAAUGGGGGGAACCGUGAUCCAGCAAUNNCGCGUGUGUGAAGAAGGCCUGAGGGUUGUAAAGCACUUUCAGUGGGGAGGAGUGGUGACUGGUUAAGAGGUGGUUAGCAGGACGUUACCCACAGAAGCAGCACCGGCUAAAUCCGUGCCAGCAGCCGCGGUAAUACGGAGGGGGCAAGCGUUAUUUGGAAUUACUGGGGGUAAAGGGGGCGUAGGUGGUUGUAUAAGUUAACUGUGAAAUCCCCGGGCUCAACCUGGGCAGGUCAGUUAAGACUGUAUGACUCGAGUAUGCGAGAGGGUAGUGGAAUUUUCGGUGUAGCGGUGAAAUGCGUAGAGAUCGGAAGGAACACCAGUGGGGAAGGGGGGUACCUGGCCUAAUAAAGACACUGAGGCGCGAAAGCGUGGGGAGCAAACACGAUUAGAU